rnacentral:rRNA from 1 species
UGCCAGCCGCCGCGGUAACACGGGGGGAGCAAACGUUGUUCGGAAUUACUGGGCGUAAAGGGCGCGUAGGCGGCCUUGCAAGUGGUGUGUGAAAUGCCCUGGCUCAACCAGGGAACUGCGCACCAAACUGCAAGGCUUGAGGGCAGUAGAGGAAGCUGGAAUUCCUGGUGUAGCGGUGAAAUGCGUAGAUAUCAGGAGGAACACCGUUGGCGAAGGCGAGCUUCUGGGCUGUCCCUGACGCUGAGGCGCGAAAGCUGGGGGAGCAAACAGGAUUAGAUA